CAAUAGCGUAUAUUAAAGUUGUUGCGGUUAAAAAGCUCGUAGUUGGAUUUCUGUUGGGAACGACCGGUCCGCCCAUUGGGUGUGUAUCUGGCUUGUUCUCGGCAUCUUCUUGGUGAACGUUGCUGCACUUGACUGUGUGGAGCGCUACCCAGGACUUUUACUUUGAGGAAAUUAGAGUGUUUCAAGCAGGCAUAUGCCUUGAAUACAUUAGCAUGGAAUAAUAAGAUAGGACCUCGGUUCUAUUUUGUUGGUUUCUAGAGCUGAGGUAAUGAUUAAUAGGGACAGUUGGGGGUAUUCGUAUUCCAUUGUAAGAGGUGAAAUUCUUGGAUUUUUGGAAGACGAACUACUGCGAAAGCAUUUACCAAGGAUGUUUUCAUUAA
rnacentral:rRNA from 1 species